AAAGCUCGUAGUUGACUUUGGGUUGGGCUGGGUGGUGCCUCCCCCGGUUUGUGGGGGGGUGACUGCUGACAGUUUGAUCCUUCCUUUUGGUGGCUGAUCAUGUCCUUGAGUGGGCGUGGUUGUGCGACCAAAACUUUUACUGUGAAAAAAUUAGAGUGCUCAAGGCAGGCUACAACCGCUUGAAUACAUUAGCAUGGAAUAAUAGAAUAGGACUUUUGGUUCUAUUUUGUUGGUUUCUAGGACCGAGGUAAUGAUUAAUAGGGAUAGUUGGGGGCAUUAGUAUUUCAAUGUCAGAGGUGAAAUUCUUGGAUUUUUGAAAGACUAACUACUGCGAAAGCAUUUGCCAAGGAUGUUUUCAUUAAUCAAGAACGAAAGUUAGGGGAUCGAAGACGAUUAGAUACCGUCGUAGUCUUAACCAUAAACUAUGCCGACUAGGGAUCGGGCGUUGUUGCCAGUCUAGGCUGCAUUGCGGCCUAGUUCAACAUGCCCGGCACCUUGCGUGAAAACCAAAGUUUUUGGGUUCUGGGGGGGAGUAUGGUCGCAAGGCUGAAACUUAAAAGAAUUGACGGAAGGGCACCACAAUGGCGUGGAGCCUGCGGCUUAAUUUGACUCAACACGGGGAAACUCACCAGGUCCAGACAUAGUGAGGAUUGACAGAUUGAGAGCUCUUUCUUGAUUCUAUGGG
rnacentral:rRNA from 1 species